rnacentral:rRNA from 1 species
GACGAACGCUGGCGGCGUGCCUAAUACAUGCAAGUAGAACGCUGAAGGAGGAGCUUGCUUCUCUGGAUGAGUUGCGAACGGGUGAGUAACGCGUAGGUAACCUGCCUGGUAGCGGGGGAUAACUAUUGGAAACGAUAGCUAAUACCGCAUAAUAGUAGAUGUUGCAUGACAUUUGCUUAAAAGGUGCAAUUGCAUCACUACCAGAUGGACCUGCGUUGUAUUAGCUAGUUGGUGGGGUAACGGCUCACCAAGGCGACGAUACAUAGCCGACCUGAGAGGGGGAUCGGCCACACGGGGACUGAGACACGGCCCAGACCCCUAAGGGAGGCAGCAGUAGGGAAUCUUCGGCAAUGGACGGAAGUCUGACCGAGCAACCCCGCGGGAGGGAAAAAGGUUUUCGGAUCGAAAAGCUCUGUUUUAAGAGAAGAACGGGUGGGGGGGGGGAAAGUUCACCCGGUGACGGUAUUUUACCAAAAAGGGACGGCUAACUACGU